rnacentral:rRNA from 1 species
AGUAAGAGUAUAUGGUGAAUGCCUUGACAUAAGAAGACGAUGAAGGACGUAGCAGCCUGCGAUAAGCCGCGGUGAGGUGGCAAGCAACCUUUGACCCGCGGAUCUCCGAAUGGGGAAACCCCUUCCGUUGAAGACGGAGGACGCCCAAUCUUUAAGAUAGGGCGGGAAGACCCGGUGAACUGAAACAUCUUAUUAGCCGGAGGAAAAGAAAAUAAUAAUUAUUCCCCAAGUAGUGGCGAGCGAAAGGGGAGAAGUCUAAACCCAAAUAACUGAGAAAUUAGUCCGGUUCGCCGGAUUUAUUUCAGAAGGUUCUGGAACCACAUGUUUUUUCGGUGUUGCAAGACCUAAGACCUGUUGCCAGAUCAACAGGACGAAGUAAAAAAAGAUUACUCUUAGCAGAACGAGUUGGAAAGCUCGGCCAGAGACGGUGAUAGCCCGGUACGCGAAAAGAGAAGUCACUUCGUUUUAGUGUUCUUAAGUAGGGCGGGACUCGUGAAAUCCCGUUUGAAGCCAGGCCGACUAUGGCCUAAGACUAAAUACUUCUUAUGAUCGAUAGUGAACUAGUACCAUGAGGGAAAGGUGAAAAGCAUCCCGAUGAGGGAGGUGAAAUAGUACCUGAAACCAUAUACUUACAAAGAGUCGGAGCCCCGCAAGGGGUGACGGCGUGCCUAUUGAAGAAUGAGCCAACGAGUUUGUUCUACGUGGCUAACAUAAUCUCCUUUGGAGAGCAUGUAUAGUGAAAGCGAGGGUUAAUAGCCCGUUUGUGUAUCGCUUUCGUGAGCACUAAUUUAUUAGUGCCCCGGGAGUGAUACAUUCGUNNNNNNNNNNNNNNNNNNNNNNNNNNNNNUAUGGGAUGACUUGUGGUUAGCGCAGAAAUUGUAAUCGAACUCGGCAAUAGCUGGUUCUCCUCGAAAUAGCUUUUGGGCUAGCCUCGGACGUUGACCGCAGGGGGUAGAGCACUGGAUGAGGGCGGGUCGCAAGAUACCGUCUUCAAUCAAACUCCGAAUACCUGUGGGUAUAGUCCGGGAGUCAGACUGCGAGCGCUAAGGUCCGUUAGUCGAAAGGGAAACAGCCCGGAUCACAAUCUAAGGUCCCUAAAUCUAUGCUAAGUGUCAAAGGUGGUGUUGUGACUGCGACAGUUAGGAGGUUGGCUUAGAAGCAGCCAUCCUUUAAAGAUAGCGUAACAGCUCACUAAUCAAGUCGUUUCGCGCCGAAAAUUUAUCGGGGCUAAGCAUAGUACCGAAGAUGUGAACUUUCUAAUUUAUUUUAGGGAGUGGUAGAGGAGCAUUCCCUUCAGCGUUGAAGUCGUGUUGUGAGGCACGGUGGAGCGGAGGGAAGAGAGAAUGUUGGCAUGAGUAGCAAAAAGGCGGGUGACAACCCCGCCCAUCGAAAACCUAAGGUUUCCUGGGCAACGCAAAUCGCCCCAGGGUUAGUCGGUCCUAAGGUGCCGUCCAUGUUGUGUGGGCGUUUAACCGAUGGAUGAGACGGUUAAUAUUCCGUCACUACUACUGUUUUCCGAAGGGGGGACGCAGUUCUCUAGUUUAAGCGUGCUAUGGUAUGUACGUUCCUGGCCUCAAGAAACGACCUUGGCAAAUCCGGGUCACCAGUUUCAAGGAGCAGGGAGAAGAGAAAGUCGCAAGAUGGACUCAAUUUAAGCGUCAGAACUGACUAGAAAAUCCUCUAGGGCUAAGGCAGUAGCAACCGUACCGUAAACCGACACAGGUAGGUGAGGCGAGAAGCCUCAGAUGUACGAGAGAAACUUC